rnacentral:rRNA from 1 species
GACAGAGGGUGCAAACGUUGUUCGGAAUUACUGGGCGUAAAGCGUGUGUAGGCGGUUUGCUAAGUCGGAUGUGAAAGCCCCGGGCUCAACCCGGGAAGUGCACUCGAAACUGGCAGGCUAGAGUAUCGGAGAGGUUGGUGGAAUUCUCGGUGUAGAGGUGAAAUUCGUAGAUAUCGAGAGGAACACCGGUGGCGAAGGCGGCCAACCGGACGAAUACUGACGCUGAGACACGAAAGCGUGGGGAGCAAACAGG